GAAACGAUAGUGAUGGAGGAAGGAAGUGGGAGGCAUUUUUUUUUUCUGAAAUAAGUUUCAACAUUAGUGAUUAUGCAGAAGCUCAACAACACAUCCAAAAAGAGAAAAGGAUCCACUGAGAUUUUAUCUUGUAAUUAGAAAAAUCAAGCCAUAAAACUUUUAAAACCAACUUGUAAUAGGCCCAUUUAGCCCGGGCCUAAAAAAACCAAAUAAACAAAAUAAACCAAAAUAAAAAAACCAAAAUUAAAGUCCAAAUACAAUCCUCAUACAAAUUGUAGCAUUUUACAAAUAAACCCAGCCCAAUUACUAAAUAACCCAAAUCCCAGCCCAUUAUGGCCCGAAAUAAACUACCCUAAAUCUAAAUUCGUAAGGCCAAAUAGCCCAUUUCUAAAAUGAGCCCAAAUGGCCCAGAUUUUCUGUUCCAAAAACUAGAACCCUAGUCAUUGCGUUGCAGCAACGGCCUUCGCCCUCAGCAGUUCGAAUCACAGGACCCGAGCAAGGUUUAAGAAACUUUUGCGGUUACUCCAGCGCUGUACGUGCGCCUUCGUUCAGCCAGCUGGCUCCGUUCGUACCUACAACAAACUAACAAACCACAACAGGUUGAUAGCAAAUAGAUCUAAGGGAAAUUUUCUUGUACUUUUAUUAUUAUUCUUUUUAUUCGGUUAUAAAAAGCCAAUGAAAUCGAAUGUAAAUGGGAUCUUUUCACAAAAAACACAUUACACACUGAAUACAAAGAAGCAAUCAAAAAUUAAGGUGAUUUCAGAUUUAUUUCUCCAUGUUUCGAUUUGUUUUUUUUUUGUUCCGGCACAUAAAUCUUUCACGCAAAAUAUAAGAAGGAAACGGACUUAUCUUUUCUUUUUUUUGGAAGAACGCCUUCGAGUCCUUGUUUGCUUCAUUGAAAUCGAAGUUCAAAUGGGGAUUAUACGACUCAGAUAGAGUCAGAUUUAGCACCGUCCGUCGAGUAUGGAGGCAAAACGGCAGUUGAAAGGAGCCUUUGGUUCGGCCGGAUAAUAGAGAGAAUAGCUUAGGUUUUGUUUUGUUUUUUAAAAUGACUAGGUGUCUCAUUUUAGGGUUUAUUUUUUGUUUUUAUAAAGGGCAUCAGACAUCGUCGUUUUAGGCAAACUUCAAUGGCCUCAAAACGGCAUCGUAUAGGCCGACCCAUUUCAAC
rnacentral:lncRNA from 1 species